rnacentral:rRNA from 1 species
AGCGAACGCUGGCGGCAGGCCUAACACAUGCAAGUCGAACGAACCUUUCGGGGUUAGUGGCGGACGGGUGAGUAACACGUGGGAACGUGCCUUUAGGUUCGGAAUAACUCAGGGAAACUUGUGCUAAUACCGAAUGUGCCCUUCGGGGGAAAGAUUAAUCGCCUUUAGAGCGGCCCGCGUCUGAUUAGCUAGUUGGUUGAGGUAAUGGCUCACCAAGGCGACGAUCAGUAGCUGGUCUGAGAGGAUGAUCAGCCACAUUGGGACUGAGACACGGCCCAAACUCCUACGGGAGGCAGCAGUGGGGAAUCUUGCGCAGUGGGCGAAAGCCUGACGCAGCCAUGCCGCGUGAAUGAUGAAGGUCUUAGGAUUGUAAAAUUCUUUCACCGGGGACGAUAAUGACGGUACCCGGAGAAGAAGCCCCGGCUAACUUCGU